CGGUAGAGGGGGCAACCCUUGAGAGUGGCGAACGGGUGAGUAAUAUAUCGGAACGUGCCCAGUCGUGGGGAUAACGUAGAGAAAUUUACGCUAAUACCGCAUACGAUCUAAGGAUGAAAGCGGGGGAUUCGCAAGAACCUCGCGCGAUUGGAGCGGCUGAUAUCAGAUUAGGUUGUUGGUGAGGUAAAAGCUCACCAAGCCGACGAUCUGUAGCUGGUUUGAGAGAACGACCAGCCACACUGGGACUGAGACACGGCCCAGACUCCUACGGGAGGCAGCAGUGGGGAAUUUUGGACAAUGGGCGAAAGCCUGAUCCAGCAAUGCCGCGUGCAGGAAGAAGGCCUUCGGGUUGUAAACUGCUUUUGUACGGAACGAAAAGGCUCUUUCUAAUAAAGAGGGCCCAUGACGGUACCGUAAGAAUAAGCACCGGCUAACUACGUG
rnacentral:rRNA from 1 species